AGAGUUUGAUCCCGGCUCAGAAUCAACGCUGGCGGCGCGCUUAACACAUGCAAGUUGAAUGAGAAAGCGGGAGUAAUCUCGCAAGUACAGUGGCGUAUGGGUGAGUAAUACGUGGGUAAUCUACCCUUUAGUGGGGAAUAACGCUGGGAAACCGGCGCUAAUACCGCAUAAUCCCGAGAGGGGAAAGUUGUAAGACGCUGAAGGAGGAGCCCGCGGCCGAUUAGUUAGUUGGGAGGGUAAAAGCCUACCAAGGUAAAGAUCGGUAGCCGGCCUGAGAGGGCACACGGCCACACUGGCACUGAAACACGGGCCAGACUCCUAUGGGAGGCAGCAGUGGGGAAUCUUGCACAAUGGGGGUAACCCUGAUGCAGCGACGCCGCGUGAGCGAUGAAGCCCUUCGGGGUGUAAAGCUCUUUCGGCAGGGACGAUAAUGAUGGUACCUGCAGAAGCAGCUGCGGCUAACUACGUGCCAGUAGUUGUGGUAAUACGUAGGCAGCGAGCGUUGUUCGGAGUUACUGGGCGUAAAGGGUGUGUAGGCGGUUUUCUAAGUUUGGUGUGAAAUCUCCCGGUUUAACCGGGAGGGUGCGCCGAAAACUGGAAGGCUAGAGUGCGGGAUGGGAGAGUAGAAUUCCUGGUGUAGUGGUGAAAUGUGUAGAUAUCAGGAGGAAUAUUGGUGGUGUAGAUGGCUCUCUGGACCGCAACUGACGCUGAGACACGAAAGUGUGGGUAGCAAAUAGGAUUAGAUACCCUGGUAGUCCACGCCCUAAACGAUGCAUAUUUGGUGUAGGUCAUUUAGUUGAUCUGUGCCGGAGUUAAUGUGUUAAAUAUGCCGCCUGGGGAGUACAGUCGUAAGGCUGAAACUCAAAGGAAUUGACGGGGGCCCGCACAGGCGGUGGAGCAUGUGGUUCAAUUUGAUGCAAUGCGAAGAACCUUACCUGGGCUCGAACGGCUGGUUAAUGGCAUUGGAAACAGUGCUACUCCGUAAGGAGGUCCAGUCGAGGUGCUGCAUGGCUGUCGUCAGUUCGUGUCGUGAGAUGUUGGGUUAAGUCCCGCAACGAGCGUAACCCUUGUCCUGUGUUGCCAUCCCGUAAGGGGGGACUCGCAGGAGACCGCCAGCGAUAAGCUGGAGGAAGGUGGGGAUGACGUCAAGUCCUCAUGGCCUUUAUGUCCAGGGCUACACACGUGCUACAAUGGCCGGUACAAAGCGCUGCUAAGUCGUGAGACGGAGCUAAUCGCAGAAAACCGGUCUCAGUUCGGAUUGCAGGCUGUAAUUUGCCUGCAUGAAGCUGGAAUCGCUAGUAAUGGCGUAUCAGAAUGAUGUUGUGAAUACGUUCCCGGGCCUUGUAUAUACCGCCCGUCACAUUACGAAAGUGGGUUGUACUAGAAGUCUGCAGGCUAACCCGUAAGGGAGGCAGCGGCCCAAGGUAUGACUCAUGAUUGGGGUGAAGUUGGAAUAAGGUA
rnacentral:rRNA from 1 species